rnacentral:rRNA from 1 species
AGGAAAAGAAACCAACAGGGAUUGCCCUAGUAACGGCGAGUGAAGCGGCAACAGCUCAAAUUUGAAAUCUGGCGCAAGCCCGAGUUGUAAUUUGUAGAGGAUGCUUCUAGGUAGCGACCGGUCUAAGUUCCUUGGAACAGGACGUCAUAGAGGGUGAGAAUCCCGUAUGUGACUGGCCCGCACCUUCUACGUAGCUCCUUCGACGAGUCGAGUUGUUUGGGAAUGCAGCUCUAAAUGGGAGGUAAAUUUCUUCUAAAGCUAAAUACCGGCCAGAGACCGAUAGCGCACAAGUAGAGUGAUCGAAAGAUGAAAAGCACUUUGGAAAGAGAGUUAAAAAGCACGUGAAAUUGUUGAAAGGGAAGCGCUCACAACCAGACUUCUAGGCAGUGUUCCGCCGGUCUUUUGACCGGUCUACUCUCUGUCUCGAGGCCAACAUCAUCUGGGACCGCUGGAUAAGACCUUAGGAAUGUAGCUCCCCUCGGGGAGUGUUAUAGCCUCUGGUGAUGCAGCGAGUCUCGGGUGAGGUCCGCGCUUCGGCAAGGAUGUUGGCGUAAUGGUUGUCAGCGGCCCGUCUUGAAACACGGACCAAGGAGUCUAACAUCUAUGCGAGUGUUCGGGUGUCAAACCCCUACGCGUAAUGAAAGUGAACGGAGGUGGGAAGCGUAAGCUGCACCAUCGACCGAUCCUGAUGUCCUCGGAUGGAUUUGAGUAAGAGCAUAGCUGUUGGGACCCGAAAGAUGGUGAACUAUGCCUGAAUAGGGUGAAGCCAGAGGAAACUCUGGUGGAGGCUCGCAGCGGUUCUGACGUGCAAAUCGAUCGUCAAAUUUGGGUAUAGGGGCGA